GAUGAACGCUAGCGGCAGGCCUAAUACAUGCAAGUCGAGGGGCAUCACAGGUAGCAAUACUGGGUGGCGACCGGCAAACGGGUGCGGAACACGUACGCAAUCUUCCUUCAGGAGAUGGAUAGCCCGGAGAAAUCCGGAUUAAUACAUCGUAAGAUUAUAGAGUGGCAUCACUCAGUAAUUAAAGAAUUUCGCCUGAAGAUGAGCGUGCGUCUGAUUAGGUAGUUGGUGAGGUAACGGCUCACCAAGCCGACGAUCAGUAACUGGCGUGAGAGCGCGACCAGUCCCACGGGCACUGAGACACGGGCCCGACUCCUACGGGAGGCAGCAGUAAGGAAUAUUGGUCAAUGGACGCAAGUCUGAACCAGCCAUGCCGCGUGAAGGAUGAAGGUCCUCUGGAUUGUAAACUUCUUUUAUCUGGGACGAAAUCACCUUUUUCUAAGGGUGUUGACGGUACCUGAGGAAUAAGCACCGGCUAACUCCGUGCCAGCAGCCGCCGUAAAAC
rnacentral:rRNA from 1 species